AAGUGAGAGCAGUGAAGAAGAAAGAGAAGAAUUCUCCAGAAAACGCUGUGUCUUGCUACAGCCGAGAGAAGCUUAGACCAAACACAGACUCUAUAGGGACACUGAUUGUUUUUUUUUGCUCAGAUUGUAGAACUUGAAGCCUAUCAUGAUAGAAGUGGUCCUGACUAGACUGGGAGAUUUCUCCUCUAAGGACGCCACCUUUGAUGCCUGUAAGUCAGCCGGGCUCGUUGUGUCCAGGGACCCACGGACCACCAGAGACCCCUGCCUGGAGGAAGACCUCCAGAUGGAGGGCUGCAUUCCCGGAGAAGAGGGCAGCUGACCCUACAAACUGGACAUUGAGAGUGCACUGGCCUGGCUGCACAGGGAACUGAUGAUCAUGGAAAAUGGAUUGCGAUUAUUCAGCACAUUUACUAUGGAGAUGCAAUCUCAGGACCAGGCCUUGAUUACAACAGCUGAUGGACCGCCAAGAAGAAGAGGAGGAGAAGGAGGAGUAGGAAGAAAAGGAAAAGGAGGAUGAGGAGACAGAGGAAGAUAGGAGCUGGGACUUUGAGAACGAGGCAGGGGGCAGUGGUAGUAGUGUUUACUCCAGCUCAGGGGAAGUGGGUUUUUCCAUAUCCUGCCUGUCCACUAGAAUGACACCAUCUCUACCAAAAAUUUACUUUCAGCAGAAGAAGCUCUGUGCCUUAAUAAAACUACAAAAAGUAUUAUCUUAUGGACUGACCACAUAGUCAAUGUUAAUUGGACAAAAUCGUUUUCUUUGUAUCUUUUAGUUGUCACACGCAUAGGUUAUUUGAGGAUGUUGAAAUGUUGAAGAUGAAAUGGUGCUGGAAUAGUGAAGGCAGUUCCUGUUUUAUUUGCGACUUGCAUUAACUCUCUGUGGUUCUAAAUCAAUAUGUUUAGUGGUUCGAAAAUGUUGGAAACUUGCUUGACCAUGCUGUAGGUUAUGAAACUUUCUUGACCAUGCUGUAGGUUAUGAAACUUGCUUGACCAUGCUGUAGGUUAUGAAACUUUCUUGACCAUGCUGUAGGUUAUGAAACUUG